CACCACAAGGAGCUUUACGGGUAGUGAUCUUAAGAACCUUGGUGGGCAUUCUCACUUGUCCCUUUGUUCUCAGUCUCUUGUCUUUAGCUCCACGUACCAAAUCAGCACACACUAAUAACACAUUUAGACCCAAAUCAUCCAUUUGUAAUCAAUUCUUUUUUUUUUUUUUGUUCAACCCAUUUGUAAUCAAUUCAAAUAAAGCUACAAGCCUGACUUCGUUGGCUUCAUUGCAUAAGCCAUCUUUUCAACCUCUUCUUCUUCUUCUGCAAGUAACAGAAAGCUACAAGUUUAACUUGCUCCUAUUAGUGAAAAGUUAAAGCCUUAUUCACUGGAUUGUGAGGCCUAAUCACUACAAGAGUUUAGUUAGACCUAAACCUAAAGCAAUAAAGUUAUAGCCCACUUAACUGGGCCUAAGGCAGUGUACAUUAUAGAAACACAAAGUAAAGUUCAAGAAAUAAAAUACAUAUAUUAAAAAAUAUUUGAUUAUAAUUACUUUUCUAAUUAAAAUGAUUUUAAAAUAGUAUGUUUUUUGAAAAAUAGAAGAACGAACAACAACAAAUUUAAAAGACGAGCAAUAUUAUUACUACCGGGGACCCCCGCACACAUUAAUUAACCUCGGAAACUCCAACGGAGCCCAACGGCUACUUUCUCCAAACGGCUACUUCUCAGUUUGCAACGGCUCUCUGCUUUCAUAAUUUCCCUUUAUAAUCUGUGUGAGAGAGAGAGAGAACUUCAGUCCACAUCAAAGUAGCUACACAUACACAUACGGAGAACGUUGGCGACGGCUAGUGAAGUAAACGGCGAGUCUGAUGAGUGCAAGAAGCUUUUAAUUACUUCUUUGAGGAUGAAGACAAGAUGAUGAGGGAAUGAGAAGUCUGCUAGUGGGGAAAAGAUGCAACAGAGAGAUACCGCAACCAUCUUCCACGGAUGUUCGAUAUGCCAGACAGACAGUAUGAUCCGACAAAGAAUUUGUAGAGGGAGUGACUCAGAUUGUACAGAUGCUUGAAACAGAAAAAGAGUGAUGGAACUAUGUGUACGUGAUUAGCGUCUUUUGUUUGCUUAGUGUCUUGAGAAUGUUACUAAUUACGACGGAGAGAACAAAAAUAAAAAGAAUUAUCUGUUUUUAUCAGUCUCAUCUCGAAUAUUCUCUCUUGUGUCUGUCUUCUCACUGUGUUGUGUUUUAUCAGUGUGUAAUUCCUUUGUUCCCAAACUUGUAGACUGUUUUCUCAAAUUGAUUUUGUUUAGAUUAUGCUUGUAUCCUUAUUUUGAUACUUGUGUUCUUGAGUUUCUUGAAAUAUGACGUUUUUUUGGUGUGUUUAA